GACGAACGCUGGCGGCGUGCCUAAUACAUGCAAGUAGAACGCACAGUUUAUACCGUAGCUUGCUACACCAUAGACUGUGAGUUGCGAACGGGUGAGUAACGCGUAGGUAACCUGCCUGGUAGCGGGGGAUAACUAUUGGAAACGAUAGCUAAUACCGCAUAAUAUUGAUUAUUGCAUGAUAAUUGAUUGAAAGAUGCUAUUGCAUCACUACCAGAUGGACCUGCGUUGUAUUAGCUAGUAGGUGAGGUAACGGCUCACCUAGGCGACGAUACAUAGCCGACCUGAGAGGGUGAUCGGCCACACUGGGACUGAGACACGGCCCAGACUCCUACGGGAGGCAGCAGUAGGGAAUCUUCGGCAAUGGGCGAAAGUCUGACCGAGCAACGCCGCGUGAGUGAAGAAGGUUUUCGGAUCGUAAAGCUCUGUUGUAAGAGAAGAACGGGUGUGAGAGUGGAAAGUUCACACUGUGACGGUAUCUUACCAGAAAGGGACGGCUAACUACGUG
rnacentral:rRNA from 1 species